AGAGUUUUUUCCUGGCUCAGGAUGAACGCUGGCGGCGUGCUUAACACAUGCAAGUCGAACGAAGCACUCUAUUUGAUUUUCUUCGGAAAUGAAGAUUUUGUGACUGAGUGGCGGACGGGUGAGUAACGCGUGGGUAACCUGCCUCAUACAGGGGGAUAACAGUUGGAAACGACUGCUAAUACCGCAUAAGCGCACAGGAUUGCAUGAUCCGGUGUGAAAAACUCCGGUGGUAUGAGAUGGACCCGCGUCUGAUUAGCCAGUUGGCAGGGUAACGGCCUACCAAAGCGACGAUCAGUAGCCGACCUGAGAGGGUGACCGGCCACAUUGGGACUGAGACACGGCCCAAACUCCUACGGGAGGCAGCAGUGGGGAAUAUUGCACAAUGGGGGAAACCCUGAUGCAGCGACGCCGCGUGAGCGAAGAAGUAUUUCGGUAUGUAAAGCUCUAUCAGCAGGGAAGAAGAAUGACGGUACCUGACUAAGAAGCACCGGCUAAAUACGUGCCAGCAGCCGCGGUAAUACGUAUGGUGCAAGCGUUAUCCGGAUUUACUGGGUGUAAAGGGAGCGCAGGCGGUGCGGCAAGUCUGAUGUGAAAGCCCGGGGCUCAACCCCGGUACUGCAUUGGAAACUGUCGUACUAGAGUGUCGGAGGGGUAAGUGGAAUUCCUAGUGUAGCGGUGAAAUGCGUAGAUAUUAGGAGGAACACCAGUGGCGAAGGCGGCUUACUGGACGAUAACUGACGCUGAGGCUCGAAAGUGUGGGGAGCAAACAGGAUUAGAUACCCUGGUAGUCCACACUGUAAACGAUGA
rnacentral:rRNA from 1 species